UCUGAGGACAGGGGUUACCCUGAUUGGUGA
rnacentral:piRNA from 1 species